rnacentral:rRNA from 1 species
GACGAACGCUGGCGGCGUGCUUAACACAUGCAAGUCGAACGAAAAGGCCCUGCUUUUGUGCGGUGCUCGAGUGGCGAACGGGUAAGUAACCCGUAAGUUAGCUGCCAUUGACUUUAGGGGAACUUCAGGACACUGGAGCUAAUACCGGCUAGGAUCUACUGCUGCUUGGUGGGGGCUGGUUAGUUUCGGCAGUUGGGGGUGGACUCGCGGCUUAUCAGCUUGUUGGUGGGGUAGUGGCUUACCAAGACUUGGAAGGGUAGCCGGGCUGCGCGGGUGACCUGCCACAUUGGGACUGAAAUACGGCCCAGACUACUACGGGACGCAGCAGUGGGGAAUAGUGCACAAUGGGCGGAAGCCUGAUGCAGCAACGCCGCGUGCGGGAUGACGGCCUUCGGGUUGUAAACCGCAUUCGCCUGUGACGAAGCGUGAGUGACGGUAAUGGGUAAAGAAGCACCGGCUAACUACGUG